rnacentral:lncRNA from 11 species
GUUUGGAGCCUUCCCAGGAAGGGAGGGAGGAAGGCAGGCAGGGAGGGAAGAAUUGCUUUGUGGAAGAGACCUGGAGCUUUGCCCUUUCUCUGGCUCAAAUUACCCGCCUGUCAGGCCUGACGGAUUUGGCUAAAAAUAAAAGGAAGCGGGCCAUGAAAAGCAGAUGAAUGAGCUCAGCAGUUCCUUAGAUAACAUGGGGGCCAGCAUCACCCAGUGCGUCCAAAACAGGAACGUCAAACGAUGGGCCGGUUAAAGUGCAAUGCUACAAAUCCAGCUAUCCGAGCGGGUGUCCCAGCUUACCAUCUGGUUCCCAUCCACACAAGCAACUGUAAAGCACAGAGAAGUUCCCUCUGGAGCCGCAUGUUUUGUACUCUGCGUUUUUUUUUUAAUCUUCUAAAAAAGAAAAGAAAAAAGAAUCCCUCCCAAUAAGAGUUCCUUCUCAUUCAUCCGUCUGAACGCAAGCACAGAGUACCCGCCAAGGUCUUUUACUAUAAUUAUUCAAGAAUGUACUGCUGUACUGUAAACAAGGCAGAGAGAGAGAGAGAGAGAGAGAGAGAGAGAGAGAGAGAGAGAGGGAGGCAUUCCUGUUUGUACAAGGGAGCUCUGAGGGCACACACAUACACACACGUGCUUCCUCACAGACAGGGAUUAAAAUGGGCAAUGCUGACACUUAAUACAGGAGGUUAAAAAUAGGUGCAUUCUCCACUGAUCCAGGCACUGCUGUGGCGCCUUUCGCUCUUCGUACACACUCUGCUUUCUUGGAAAUGGGCUUCUAAAAAUCCAAACACACACAUACAAAUAAAUUCUGACAAACAACACUAACCCGAUUAUACUGUGGCAGUUUGUCAUAAUAUAGAGAGAAAGUAACGUAAUUGUACAAAAAUGAUAGGCAUUUAAUAACCUAAUCAAACACUAUAUUCUUAAAAAAUACCAGAGUGCAUGAAGGUGAUCAGUAGAAACAGAUGCUUGUGCAUUUCAGAGCUGUGUCUGUUGUGCUCAUGUAUGCUUUUUAAAAGCACGUUUAACUCCAUCCCUUUAUAAAGGAAUGCUCCAGUGUGGCCAGGAUUACAGUAAUAAGAACAAAACAAUUACUGAUGCAAGGAAUUGUAACAUUCAACAGGUUCUAUACUUAUAACUCUAAAAGUUUACAAUACUGAGCACAGAAAUCCACUGGGCAUACUCCAACUCUGUAUACCAUAACAAAACACUCCUGUAAAACACACCAGCUUUCACAAAAUAAAAAUGUUACACAUUCAGAAAUAUUGCAAAAACAUAUUGUGCCC